GACGAGGGGUGCGAGCGUUAUUCGGAAUUAUUGGGCGUAAAGGGUGUGUAGACGGUAUGCUAAGUCUGUCGUUAAAUCUCCCGGCUUAACCGGGAAUCAGCGAUGGAUACUGAUGUACUAGAGGGUGGAAGAGAGAAGUGGAAUUCUCGGAGUAGCGGUAAAAUGCGUAGAUCUCGAGAGGAACACCAAUGGCGAAGGCAGCUCGCUGGGACGUUACUGACGCUGAGACGCGAAAGCGUGGGGAGCAAACAGG
rnacentral:rRNA from 1 species